rnacentral:rRNA from 1 species
ACACCGGCGGCCCGAGUGGUGAUCGUGAUUAUUGGGUCUAAAGGGUCCGUAGCCGGUUUGGUCAGUCCUCCGGGAAAUCUGAUAGCUCAACUAUUAGGCUUUCGGGGGAUACUGCCAGACUUGGAACCGGGAGAGGUAAGAGGUACUACAGGGGUAGGAGUGAAAUCUUGUAAUCCCUGUGGGACCACCUGUGGCGAAGGCGUCUUACCAGAACGGGUUCGACGGUGAGGGACGAAAGCUGGGGGCACGACCCGGAUUAGAUACCCGGGUAGUCCCAGCCGUAAACGAUGCUCGCUAGGUGUCAGGCAUGGCGCGACCGUGUCUGGUGCCGCAGGGAAGCCGUGAAGCGAGCCACCUGGGAAGUACGGCCGCAAGGCUGAAACUUAAAUGAAUUGGCGGGG